GGCCACAGCUCAGUGGAAGAGCAUCUGCUUUGCAUGCAGAAGGUCCUGAGUUCAAUCCCUGGAAUCUCCA
rnacentral:tRNA from 1 species